GAGAACGUUUGCGUUUUUUUCCUUUCCCGGAGGAGCCUCCGUCUAUCUUUUUCCCCUAACAGGACUGCGCAUAAACACGGAGAGGGACUGUAUACCAAACAUUUGCGACGCCGCCGAUGUUGUUUACACCGAACUUUAAUGUUCUUUGUUGAUGUUUUGCCGUUUGGGCUUGGAACAAAAAAAGCACGACAGUGAGCCCACAGUUAUCGGGAGAUAUGUUUAGGAACCUCUGUGAAGUUGGCGUAAAUCAGUGUUGUUUUCGUCAAUGAUGACGAUAACAAAAAUAUUUUGUCAACGAACAAUUUUUUCAUGACGAUGACUGGACGAUUACGAGCUAAAUAUGUGUCUUGGAAGACUAAAUCAUAACUAAACGAAUGCCACUUUUCCUCUGAGAAGACGAGAACGAGACGAAAAUGCCCCACACUUUUUUUCAAACAACUCACCAAUGUCCUCUCCAGGCUUGUUUUGUAACAAACACGGACUUGAGAUACGCGGACCUGCUAGUAAGACAGCAACCCGGAGCUGACGGACCCCCCCGACGCCGAAGCCCGCAAGUGGUCUUGAAGCACGCAGACCACUUUGGUGGGCACUUAACUCAGCUAUUUCCUCCACUUGUCUGCCAUUUUUCUUUUCAUGUGCACCUGCGUUUCUACUCUACGGCAAGCGCAGGUGCAAAAACAGCACCCAGACGACAAUAUUGCCAAACGACGUCCAUUUUUUUCGGGGCAUACAGUGCAAAAUAUUUACUGUAUGACUCAGCUCUUCUGGACAGUCCAAAACAAAUGGCGGGACAUCGUCCUGUGACAAGGAACAUCUGAUAACGAGGAACCCGCGACUGAGAAGGUGACACUCGGCACUCACGUGGCGCAUUGGUGGCAAAAUCCUCAACUCUCGUUGCCCUGACUACAGUCACGCCCGAAACCUUCCUGCCCUGUCCACACAGAGAAUAAUCCUAGACAAGCCCAAACACACCCUUCUUCCUGACCACACCCAGCCUCACCAGAGCCUUUAAAAGACUGAAUGUUUAACUAAUCGUUGUCUUUUCUCGAGAAUCUUUUCUUGACUUGUGAUUUGGUGACCCUGGAUCAUGGAUAUGAUUUCUGCCGACUUCGAAUAAAUUGUCAAAUUGUAUUCUGAAGCCUUUUUCCAGGUUUUAAAAUGGAGUCAGUACAAGAGAUUAAGACUAAGGUGA